GGUCUUUCUUCUGCUUCCUUCUUUUUUGGAAUUCCUCUCAUCUGCUUCCUCCCAAGAGCCUUCGUCUGAAGAAUGCACACUUCAGCUCCUUGUGCCUGGUUUCAAGCCGCCAGGUGCUUCACAAGGGGAAAACUGGCCAUGCAUUUCUCCUCUUUGAAAUCUGCAAGGAAUAGAGGCAUAAUCAAUAGAAAAAGAGAAGAUCAGGAAUAUUACAGUGAAAAGAGCUCAUCGUAUGCAGGCUGGCCCAUGUGAGGGUGUGUGUGCUACAGCUGCACAUCUCAGUAUCGACACAGCCCCCAACUCCACACAGAGGACUGAGACUGUGGAGAAUGGAUGAGGACAGAGAGA